UGUGGUUACAGAUGUAGCUUAUCACCACCAGGUGUGAAUGAAUGAUGGGUUCCCACUUCUCUGUGAGCGCUUUGAGUAUCUAAUAAUUGAAAAAGUGCAAUAUAAAUCUAAUCCAUUAUUAUUAUUAUUAUUAUUAAAGACUUCAAAGAAGACAGUUUCCUGCAAAAUGUGCAGCAUGGACCUCGCGAGGCAUUGAAGGACAACAUUGCUUCGAGAGAACCUGAAGAGGAGACAUGUUGGAGCCAUGGAUGAAGGAAACAACUCACAAGAUGCUGAUCUCAGAGGGUGUUAGGGUCAUGGAAGGACACUGCAGGGGGCCUUCACCCAUAGGGAUCCAAGAGCGUGCCAACAGCCCCUGGGCACACUCCUUCUGGAUGGUACACCUGGUGAAACAACCAUCUUCAAGCCACUUUCUGACCGUCUCUACAGGAUGCGCCGUUUUGUUGGCAGUCUUAUUUAUGGGCCGAAGCCCUUCUCACGGCCAAGCCCCCUUGGACUGCGUCUUCACCCUAUCAACCAUCUACUGAAAAGAUAUGAGUUCAAACUAUGCACUACUUUUUACUAGAAAUGGCAAAAGCAGACGAUUUUACAAUGCGUGUGCAUGUGAUGUAAAUGUGAUGACAAUUUGAUUCUCAUUGCAGCACAUGGGUCACGAUGCGAUAGAUAGAUAGAUAGAUAGAUAGAUAGAUAGAUAGAUAGAUAGAUAGAUAGAUAGAUAGAUAGAUAGAUAGAUAGAUAGAUAGAUAGAUAGAUAGAUAGAUAGAUAGAUAGAUAGAUAGAUAGAUAGAUAGAUGGAUAAUACUUUGUUGAUUCCUUCAGUAGAGUUCCUUCAGGAAAAUUAUAUAAAAAUAAUUAAUUUAUAAAACAGAACGAUUUGAUGCGAUUAUAUUUGGUGUAUGAACGAUUCCAUACGAUUCAAUUUAGUGUACGAAAAAUUUAUGAAGAUUGGAUACGGUGUAGGGCUGCGAAUCUUUGGGUGUCCCACGAUUCGAUUCAAUAUCAAUUCUUGGGGUCACGAUUUGAUUCAAAACGAUUUUUUUUUUCAAUUUAACACGAUUCCCGAUUCAAAAACAAUUUUUUUCCCGGUUUAAAAGGAUUCUCUAUACAUUCAAUGAAUAAAUAGAGAAGAUGUUUUAUAAAGUAAAAAGGAUUUCAGCAGGAUCUACCCCAGUCUGCUGACAUGCAAGCAUAGUAGUACAUUUUUGUAAAAAGCUUUUAUAAUUGUAAAGGACAAUGUUUUAUCAACUGAUUCCAAUAAUGUAAAUGUGUUUUAACUAUUAAACUAACCAAAAAUAUAACUUAUUUUAUCUUUGUGAAAAUAUUGGACACAGUGUGUUGUCAAGCUUAUGAGAUGAGAUGCAAGUGUAAGCCACUGUCACACUAUUGUUCUUUUUUUAUAUUUUUAUAAAUGUCUAAUGAUAAUGUCAAUGAGGGAUUUUUAAUCACUGCUAUGCUUAAAUUAUAAGUAAUAUUUAUACUGUUGUUGAUAAUAUUCAUUUUUGUUUCACUACUUUUGGUUUGUUCUGUGUCGUGUUUGUGUCUUUUCUCUUGCUCUGUUUAUUGCAGUUCUGAGUGUUGCUGGGUCAGGUUUGGUUUUGGAAUUGGAUUGCGUUGUUAUGGUAUUACUGUGUAUUGUUUAGUUGGAUUGAUAAAACAAUAAAAUAUAUAAAAAAUAUUAAAAAAAACGAUUAAAAAAAAAAUUAGAAUCGAUUCUAAAUCGCACAACGUGAGAAUCGUGAUUCAAAUUCGAAUCGAUUUUUUCCCACACCCCAAAUACGGUGUAUGAAUGAUUACAUUUCGUGGUAACACAUUCUUUCUUAAGUCACAACAUAACAAAAGCAUGUGUUCCUGUGCAUACACCCCUCCUAAUGUUAGAAGAUAAAUAGUUGGGACCUUGGCACCAAGCACUCACAGUGGAGCUGACCAAGCCAAGUCUCUGAGCAUGUACUGAUGAAAACUACUUGGAUGAGAGGCCAAACGUCUUCUAAGACAACUGAUCAGUUGAAUGCCUUGAGAAUAACAAUAACCUAUUGAAUGACAACACACAUGGGCACAUUCAUCUUUGAAUAAAAAAAGGACAUUCUAUAAGAGUGACAUGCUUAAAGUAUUUCAUUUUUUUUAAAACAACAUAUAUCCCGAAAGAUGUCUAUGGAUAUUCUCAACCAUCCCGUAAUGUCACUGUAAUGUCAGGGUAUUCAAUCAAUCACAACUGGACCAGGCUAGAUCUGACCAAUCUAAGUCUAAGACUAGAACUGACCAAUCUAAGUCUAGAUCUGACCAAUUUAAGUCUGUGGGUAUAAAGUGAUGAGGCCUACUAGGAUGAGAGACAAAACAUAUUCUAAGGCAAAAAAGACAGUCCAGUUGUGAUCGUUUGAAUGCCCUGAGAUCCCCAAAGAUGUUUUACAAAGUAAAAAGGCAAACAUCAAAUAAAGAUAUUUUUUUCACGAUUCAAGUCAAGUCAGUGUGGCUUGACGUGGGGCGGAACUUCUCGGACAAGAAUGGGUGACGUGUUUUGUGGAAUUGAAAAGGUCAGCAAGACAAGAAAUAGAGUUUGUUGUAUGAAAACAUUGCAUUUUGUGAAAUAAAG